rnacentral:miRNA from 1 species
UGAUGAUGAUGAUGAUGAUGAUGAUGAUGAAAGAAAGGAAAAAACAGGUAAAUAAUGUAAAAAUGUAUCUUCAAGUACUAGUUUCCAUCACAGUCAUCAUCAUCAUCAUCAUUUUAC